GCUCACAUGGCGUAGUGGUUAACGCGCUGGCACUGGCUGUAUAAUUCCUUCGGCGGCAGUCGCGUGUUCGAGUCCCUCUGUUGACC